rnacentral:rRNA from 1 species
AAUGAACGUUGGCGGCGUGGAUUAGGCAUGCAAGUCGUACGAGAAUCGUAGCAAUACGAGGAAAGUGGCGGAAGGGAGAGGAUUACGUGGGAAUCUACCCUCAGAACUGGGAUAGCGGCGGGAAACUGCCGGUAAUACCAGAUAAUGUCUGUGGACCAAAGGUGUGAUUCCGUCUGGGGAUGAGCCCACGUCCUAUUAGCUAGUUGGCGGGGUAAUGGCCUACCAAGGCAAUGAUGGGUAGCGGGUGUGAGAGCAUGACCCGCCUCACUGGGACGGAGAACUGCCCAGACACGGACGGGUGGCUGCAGUCGAGAACCUUCGGGAAUGAGCGCAAGCUUGACCGAGCGACGCCGCGUGCGGGAUGAAGGCCUUCGGGUUGUAAACCGCUGUCGUAGGGGAGCAAGAGAUGAGGGUACUCCCUCUGAUUUGAGCGAUCCUAGGAGGAAGGACGGGCUAAGUCCGUGCCAGCCGCCGCCGUAACAC